GACGAACGCUGGCGGCGUGCUUAACACAUGCAAGUCGAACGGUAAGGCCCUUCGGGGUACACGAGUGGCGAACGGGUGAGUAACACGUGGGUGAUCUGCCCUGCACUUCGGGAUAAGCCUGGGAAACUGGGUCUAAUACCGGAUAGGACUCCUGGCUUCAUGGUUGGGGGUGGAAAGCUUUUGCGGUGUGGGAUGGGCCCGCGGCCUAUCAGCUUGUUGGUGGGGUAAUGGCCUACCAAGGCGACGACGGGUAGCCGGCCUGAGAGGGUGACCGGUCACACUGGGAUUGAGGUACGGCCCAGACUCCAACAGGGAGGCAGCAGUAGGGAAUAUUGCACAAUGGGCGCAAGCCUGAUGCGGCGACGCCGCGUGAGGGAUGACGGCCUUCGGGUUGUAAACCUCUUUCAGCUAUGACGAAGCGCAAGUGACGGUAGUAGCAGAAGAAGGACCGGCCAACUACGUGCCAGCCGCCGCGGUAA
rnacentral:rRNA from 1 species